GAAGAGAGGAGCAGGAUGCUCUGCUGGGACUGGCAGGAGUGUCCCUGGUGCCCAAGGCUGUGCUGAAGUGCACCCUGACCCCCAGCAUCCCAACUGCCUGGGGACAUGCCAUGGGGCACGGCAAGAUCCCCUCCCUCAGCUGGGGUCUCAGGAUCCCUUGAGUGUUUCCUGUGUGUGCCCCAGUGCCACGACUCACCUGUGACACUCAGGUUUGUGGGAGCACUGAGGGCAGAGUUCCUCACUCGGUUGCUGUUGUCCUUGUGCUGGUAUCCACAUGUGAAUGUCCCUGCGCUCUCCCUUCCCAUGGGGAAAAAGGUAUAGUAGCUCCCCUUCCCCUGUUGGGCUUUCAGGCUGUGCACCUGCACCCCGUCCUUGCAGAAGAUGAUUCUGGUGACAGGAGAUUUCUUGGAAAUCUGACUGAAAUAUGACCUGUUCUCCUUCCUGUGCAACAGUGGGGGUCACAUCAAAGGAAGGAGCCAGAAGGUUGCCUGGAGAGAUGGCACAGGGAUGGCUCAGGACAGUGUUACUGGUGUCAGGGAUGGAAAGGUGUCUGGGCCUCCUCCCCCUGCCAUGUGGUCCUGGGAGAGGGGCCCUGAGGGGACAGACAUGGGGUUUCCUGAGCCCCUGGUCAGCCUCGUUCCUCAUUGGUUGUUUUGUGUUUCCCUGCGUGGGCAAGGACCCUCAACCCAGACUGUGAGAGUUCCUCGGCAGAGCUCCGGCCAUGCGGCUGGGGAAAUAAACAUCUCUGAAACAUCUACCAAGAAUCCAUCCAUAUAUAUUUCUCUUCCAUGGGCCUCCUGGUUUGAUAUAUGCGUGUUACAGUAAUCCCCACUGUAACAGAAAGGUAUCUGAUCUGGAAGGGGAAGAGUUUCCCCUCCAAGUGUUCACACAUGGGGAACAAAGCCCUUCUCCCUUCCCAUCUCUUAGACCACACAUCUCUAUUUCCAUGACCCGUACUCACCAUGCCCUGGGGAGCUGCAGAUGUCCUGGGCCAUCACAGCAGCACCCAGCAGCAGCAGCAGCAGCAGGAGGAGGAGGAGGAGGAAGGCCGGGCGAGCAGGAGACAGCCUGGCACAUCCCCCCUGGGCCAGCAUUGUUUGGGGCACUGCAGCCACAGCCUCUCCUUGCAGCGUCUGCUGUGGGCUGAGCUCUGCCCAGCGCUGCAAGAGCUGCCUGGCCCGGGGCUUGCAGCGUGCCUGGGACUGGUCCUGCUGCAGGGCUGGGGCUGGCAGGGCCUUUCCCACACCGAGUGGCUGUGGCCAGCGGGGGCCCUGCCUCAGCCCCCACUGUGGCCACUGAGCCUGCAGAGCCCCCGCUUUCAUUUCUGCACCCUGCGAGCCCAGAGCACGAGCCGUGUGUGCCUGUCCCUCUGGGGCAGCCUCCUCCCUGCAAAGCCCUCCUGGCCCUUGUUCCCACCCUGCUCUGCCUUCUUCUCACUGCUACUCCUAGCUCUUCUUCCAGAUAUGAGAGAGAACCUGGAGUCCAUGGAGAGGGGCUGUGCAGGAGGAGCCCCUAGCAGAAGUUUCCUCUCUGCUUUGCUGUGUUUGUCCUGGAGCUCUGCCACGGGCACAAGUCCUUGCACCAUUGCUUUGGGUGGGUCCUCCUUUGCCCACCCCCCUCACAGCUCCAUCCUGCCCCAGUUAUCAGCUCCUGUUCUGCCUUUCCCACCCCACAGAAAUCUCCCUCUCCACUCGGGUGUGCCUGCAACUCUAGCUGCUCUCCUCGCUCAGUUCUCAGGUGGUGUCAGCACAGAGGGACAGGCGGGCUCAGGUCCCUGGGACAGGGGUCCCCAAGCCAUGCAGCUCCACCAGGGAUGAACCUGGCUCAGCUUGGCUCUCCUGCUCAUCCUCAUGCUGGCUUUGCUGGGAAUCAGAGGAGAACAGCGGAAGGUGCUGCUGGGAGUUCCUGAAGCAGUGGGCAGGAGCCUGGGAAAGGGAAAUGCUCCAAGACAUCAGCUUCCAGUGAACCCUUAAACUCUCUCUCUGGCCAUCUCCUUUCUCCCAGCAGAACUUCCUGGCCCUGCUGAGCAACAAGGGCUGCUCUGUUCCUCUCCUCUGCCUCUGUCCCUUGCCCCCAGCCCAGGAUGUGCUCAGGCAAGAAAGCAGCAGAUCUUACAGGUGCCCCAUGUGCAGCUCUGCUCCUCCUUUCCCAAAGCCUCACUUCUCACAGCUGCCCUGAUGAGCCAGAGGAAGAGGGGCAGCUGCACCAGGGAUUCCUUCCAGUUCCCAAAGACCAACUCCAUUGCAAUCCCAAGUGCUUUGCAGAGCAGAGAUCCCCUGUUUGACUCAGUGGGCCCUCACUGCUGCCUGCAGUGGGCAUCCACUCUCUUAGCACUGCUAAUACAAAGCUGAUCAGGUCUUUGCUCUUUGGCUUGGCCAAGAUAUUUCACUCCCUCCUCCUUGUUUUAGAGCUUUUCCUGCUUCAAGCCCCAUGUUCAGCUGCUGCAGAAAAGUGUGUGUCUCCUGUAAGCCUUGUGUCCUGCUGAUCACACCUGGGCAUGCGAUCUCCUGGACACCCACACAAAACCCAAGUGCCACUAAAAACCUCAUUAUGCAGUACUGGAUCUUUCAGGGUAGGAUUUCCACGGCUGCCUGUGUUGCAGCCAGGAAUUCCACUCCAAUUCAGUCAGAGAUACAGGACAUGACAAAGGGCCAGAGCACCUGAAUUCAAACAGUUGUGCAGGUCAAGCAGAUCCAAUGCACAUUGUGCCCUGUUUCUGAGUUGCCACCAGCUCUGGUGUCAGUCUCACCUCUAAACUUGCCUGUUCCCUUGAGCAACUCUCUGAGUUCCCUCUCCUCACCUCCAGCUCCUCCUGUCUUCUACAUAUCCCCAUCCAAGACACAACAAGUUGCAGGAGGUCUUCAGCCCUGGUCAAACUGGCCACUCACAUCACCAAGGGGACAAAGUGGAAUGGGAGAUACCCCAGAGACAGUGGGAUCUCAUCUCAGACCACUCCAAGGAGAGCCCUUCUGGUGUCCUGGAGCCCUGGGAGUGCUGCUGGGGAUCUCUGAUCUGCUUGUCUCUCCAGGGCACUCUUGGUCCAUGAUGAGAGCUCAAUCUUCAUGUCAUUUCUGGUUGGCUCCCAGUUUUCUCCUCACAGUUUCUGUGAGUUAUUCACCCUUCAGCCCCUUACCCAGAGGGAAAGGAGCAACAAAAUGAGGGCCAAGAAAUAGGAAGAAUAAUAUAGUAAACAUAUCACACAAAAAUCGUAAUUGCAAAUUAACAUCUUUCUCCAGAUGA
rnacentral:lncRNA from 13 species